AGCAGCUGGGCAUUUAACAGACGGACCACCCAGGAGCCUUAGGAACACCCGUUUUUUUAUAACUUGUUCUGAUAGAGGUACUUAUCAAACAUUUACAAAGUGUCGAUUUGGGGAAAAUAAAUAAGACGAGGAUAUCAGGUCAGAAAUGCACAACUAAUUGGGGCGCCUGACUGGCUCCGUCGGAAGAACAUGCGACUCUUGAUCUUGGAGUCGUGAGUU